AUGCAAGUCGAGCGGACAGAAGGGAGCUUGCUCCCGGAUGUUAGCGGCGGACGGGUGAGUAACACGUGGGUAACCUGCCUGUAAGACUGGGAUAACUCCGGGAAACCGGAGCUAAUACCGGAUAGUUCCUUGAACCGCAUGGUUCAAGGAUGAAAGACGGUUUCGGCUGUCACUUACAGAUGGACCCGCGGCGCAUUAGCUAGUUGGUGGGGUAAUGGCUCACCAAGGCGACGAUGCGUAGCCGACCUGAGAGGGUGAUCGGCCACACUGGGACUGAGACACGGCCCAGACUCCUACGGGAGGCAGCAGUAGGGAAUCUUCCGCAAUGGACGAAAGUCUGACGGAGCAACGCCGCGUGAGUGAUGAAGGUUUUCGGAUCGUAAAGCUCUGUUGUUAGGGAAGAACAAGUGCGAGAGUAACUGCUCGCACCUUGACGGUACCUAACCAGAAAGCCACGGCUAACUACGUGCCAGCAGCCGCGGUAAUACGUAGGUGGCAAGCGUUGUCCGGAAUUAUUGGGCGUAAAGGGCUCGCAGGCGGUUUCUUAAGUCUGAUGUGAAAGCCCCCGGCUCAACCGGGGAGGGUCAUUGGAAACUGGGAAACUUGAGUGCAGAAGAGGAGAGUGGAAUUCCACGUGUAGCGGUGAAAUGCGUAGAGAUGUGGAGGAACACCAGUGGCGAAGGCGACUCUCUGGUCUGUAACUGACGCUGAGGAGCGAAAGCGUGGGGAGCGAACAGGAUUAGAUACCCUGGUAGUCCACGCCGUAAACGAUGAGUGCUAAGUGUUAGGGGUUUCCGCCCCUUAGUGCUGCAGCUAACGCAUUAAGCACUCCGCCUGGGGAGUACGGUCGCAAGACUGAAACUCAAAGGAAUUGACGGGGGCCCGCACAAGCGGUGGAGCAUGUGGUUUAAUUCGAAGCAACGCGAAGAACCUUACCAGGUCUUGACAUCCUCUGACAACCCUAGAGAUAGGGCUUUCCCUUCGGGGACAGAGUGACAGGUGGUGCAUGGUUGUCGUCAGCUCGUGUCGUGAGAUGUUGGGUUAAGUCCCGCAACGAGCGCAACCCUUGAUCUUAGUUGCCAGCAUUUAGUUGGGCACUCUAAGGUGACUGCCGGUGACAAACCGGAAGAAAGGUGGGGAUGACGUCAAAUCAUCAUGCCCCUUAUGACCUGGGCUAACC
rnacentral:rRNA from 1 species